rnacentral:rRNA from 1 species
UGGGGAAUUUUGGACAAUGGGCGAAAGCCUGAUCCAGCAAUGCCGCGUGUGUGAAGAAGGCCUUCGGGUUGUAAAGCACUUUUGUCCGGAAAGAAAUCCUUGGCUCUAAUACAGUCGGGGGAUGACGGUACCGGAAGAAUAAGCACCGGCUAACUACGUGCCAGCAGCCGCGGUAAUACGUAGGGUGCAAGCGUUAAUCGGAAUUACUGGGCGUAAAGCGUGCGCAGGCGGUUUGCUAAGACCGAUGUGAAAUCCCCGGGCUCAACCUGGGAACUGCAUUGGUGACUGGCAGGCUAGAGUAUGGCAGAGGGGGGUAGAAUUCCACGUGUAGCAGUGAAAUGCGUAGAGAUGUGGAGGAAUACCGAUGGCGAAGGCAGCCCCCUGGGGCCAAUACUGACGCUCAUGCACGAAAGCGUGGGGAGCAAACAGGAUUAGAUACCCUGGUAGUCCACGCCCUAAACGAUGUCAACUAGUUGUUGGGGAUUCAUUUCCUUAGUAACGUAGCUAACGCGUGAAGUUGACCGCCUGGGGAGUACGGUCGCAAGAUUAAAACUCAAAGGAAUUGACGGGGU